UUGAUGAAGAACGCAGCAAACUGUGCGUCAUCGUGUAAACUGCAGUCACUUCCUAACUCUCGUCGAGUGCUGACGUGCCUACGAAUAAAGUGUUUAUUCUCUGAGUGAUCUUCGCUGUGAAAAAGUUAACCUGGAAUCUUUAA
rnacentral:rRNA from 1 species